ensembl:lincRNA
AAAUAAUCAUGAGGCCCAAAACACUUCCUGAAUGAAAGAGAACCUGCAUUGAAUUUUGUUCUGUGGUGAAUGUCAGGUGCUGGUAUUCCAGCAACACUCAGGCGGCUGCUCCAGGAGGCUGCAGAGGGGUCCUUUUUAGGCGUCAACAAAACUGGCUAUGGUCACGCCCAUUGGGAAACUCAUUGCUGCCUUCAAGGUGGAAGUUAAAGUCAUCACAGUUCUUUCAUGAAAGGAGAAAACUUCUACAUAGAAGAUGAGAAGCUUCUUUGGGGCAGAGACUAUAGUUAGUAUUUCUUUAGCACUGUUCAUAAUGUUAGGAUAGGAAUAAGCAGAGGUGGUAUGCAAUAG